CCUACGGGGUGCAGCAGUGAGGAAUAUUGGUCAAUGGGCGCGAGCCUGAACCAGCAAAGUAGCGUGAAGGAUGAAUGCCCUACGGGUUGUAAACUUCUUUUAUAAAGGAAUAAAGUGAGGCACGUGUGCCUUUUUGUAUGUACUUUAUGAAUAAGGAUCGGCUAACUCCGUGCCAGCAGCCGCGGUAAUACGGAGGAUCCGAGCGUUAUCCGGAUUUAUUGGGUUUAAAGGGAGCGUAGAUGGCGUGUUAAGUCAGUUGUGAAAUUUUGCGGCUUAACCGUAAAAUUGGAAUUGAUACUGGCAGGCUUGAGUACAGUUGAGGUAGGCGGAAUUCGUGGUGUAGCGGUGAAAUGCUUAGAUAUAACGAAGAACUCCGAUUGCGAAGGCAGCUUACUAAACUGCCACUGACAUUGAUGCUCGAAAGCGUGGGGAGCAAACAGGAUUAGAUACCCGAGUAGUC
rnacentral:rRNA from 1 species